GGGGUUAUGGGUUAGCUUGGCUAUACUUUUUGGUUUGGGACCAAAAGACCCCGGUUCGAAUCCGGGUAACCCCA
rnacentral:tRNA from 1 species